rnacentral:pre_miRNA from 1 species
AAUAGAAUUGCUGGGUCAUAUAGUAACUCUAAGUUAACAUUUUGAGGAACUGCCAAAUUCUUUUCCAAAGUGGCUAUACAAUUUUGCAUUCUCAUCAGCAGU